rnacentral:rRNA from 1 species
UGGGAGGGGUGGAUAGCCCCGUACGACACCUCACUCAUUGUAGGAUUCUGACGUGGGAGUCGAGUUGUUUGGGAAUGCAGCUCAAAAGGGUGGUAUGCUCCAUCUAAAGCUAAAUAUCUGUGAGAGACCGAUAGCGAACAAGUACUGUGAAGGAAAGAUGAAAAGAACUUUGAAAAGAGAGUGAAAAAGUACGUGAAAUUGUUGAAAUGGAAGGAUAUGCC